GACGAACGCUGGCGGCGUGCUUAACACAUGCAAGUCGAACGGAAAGGCCCUGCUUUUGUGGGGUGCUCGAGUGGCGAACGGGUGAGUAACACGUGAGUAACCUGCCCUUGACUUUGGGAUAACUUCAGGAAACUGGGGCUAUUCCCGGUUAGUGCUUCUUGCCCUUUGGUGGGGUUGGGAAUUUUUGGCGGUUUGGGAUGGACUCGCGGCCUAUCAGCCUGUUGGUGGGGUAGUGGCUUACCAAGGCUUUGACCGGUUGCCGGCCUGAGAGGGUGACCGGACACAUUGGGACUGAGAUAAGGCCCAGACUCAUACGGGAGGCAGCAGUGGGGAAUAUUGCACAAUGGGCGGAAGCCUGAUGCAGCAACGCCGCGUGCGGGAUGACGGCCUUCGGGUUGUAAACCGCUUUCGCCUGUGACGAAGCGUGAGUGACGGUAAUGGGUAAAGAAGCACCGGCUAACUACGUG
rnacentral:rRNA from 1 species